rnacentral:rRNA from 1 species
CCGGCACGGGUGAGUAACACGUAUCCAACCUGCCGUCUACUCUUGGACAGCCUUCUGAAAGGAAGAUUAAUACAAGAUGGCAUCAUGAGUCCGCAUGUUCACAUGAUAAAGGUAUUCCGGUAGACGAUGGGGAUGCGUUCCAUUAGAUAGUAGGCGGGGUAACGGCCCACCUAGUCUUCGAUGGAUAGGGGUUCUGAGAGGAAGGUCCCCCACAUUGGAACUGAGACACGGUCCAA